rnacentral:rRNA from 1 species
ACCCAGACUCCUACGGGAGGCAGCAGUGAGGAAUAUUGGUCAAUGGGAGAGAUCCUGAACCAGCCAAGCCGCGUGAGGGAAGACGGCCCUAUGGGUUGUAAACCUCUUUUGUCGGAGAACAAAACCCGGGACGUGUCCCGGACUGCGUGUAUCCGAAGAAAAAGCAUCGGCUAACUCCGUGCCAGCAGCCGCGGUAAUACGGAGGAUGCGAGCGUUAUCCGGAAUUACUGGGCGUAAAGGGUGCGUAGGUGGUGUCUUAAGUCAGAGGUGAAAGGCUACGGCUCAACCGUAGUAAGCCUUUGAAACUGGGGAGCUUGAGUGCAGGAGAGGAGAGUGGAAUUCCUAGUGUAGCGGUGAAAUGCGUAGAUAUUAGGAGGAGCACCAGUUGCGAAGGCGGCUCUCUGGGCUGUAACUGACACUGAGGCGCGAAAGCGUGGGGAGCAAACAGGAUUAGAUACCCCCGUAUCC